GUAGGGGGCGAGCGUUGUCCGAAUUUACUGGGCGUAAAGCGCGCGUAGGCGGACCUUUAAGUUGGUGGUGAAAUGCCGAGGCUCAACCUCGGAACUGCCUUCAAAACUGGAGGUCUGGAGGUAUGGAGAGGGAAGUGGAAUUCCUGGUGUAGCGGUGAAAUGCGUAGAUAUCAGGAGGAACACCUGUGGCGAAGGCGACUUCCUGGCCAUAUCCUGACGCUGAGGUGCGAAAGCUAGGGUAGCGAACGGGGAUUAGAUACCCCGGUAGUCCUAGCCGUAAACGAUGGAUACUAGGUGUUAGAGGUAUCGACCCCCCUCUAGUGCCGAAGCCAACGCAUUAAGUAUCCCGCCUGGGGAGUACGACCGCAAGGUUG
rnacentral:rRNA from 1 species